rnacentral:ncRNA from 14 species
GGCUCGUUAGCUCAGUUGGUCAGAGCGCCGCGCUUCUACUGAAACAGCGGAGGUCGUAGGUUCGAUCCCUACAUGAGCCC